rnacentral:rRNA from 1 species
AUUGAACGCUGGCGGCAGGCUUAACACAUGCAAGUCGAGCGGAGAGAGGUAGCUUGCUACUGAUCUUAGCGGCGGACGGGUGAGUAAUGCUUAGGAAUCUGCCUAUUAGUGGGGGACAACAUUUCGAAAGGAAUGCUAAUACCGCAUACGCCCUACGGGAGAAAGCAGGGGAUCUUCGGACCUUGCGCUAAUAGCUGAGCCUAAGUCGGAUUAGCUAGUUGGUGGGGUAAAGGCCUACCAAGGCGACGAUCUGUAGCGGGUCUGAGAGGAUGAGCCGCCACACUGGGACUGAGACACGGCCCAGACUCCUACGGGAGGCAGCAGUGGGGAAUAUUGGACAAUGGGCGGAAGCCUGAUCCAGCCAUGCCGCGUGUGUGAAGAAGGCCUUAUGGUUGUAAAGCACUUUGAGCGAGGAGGAGGCUACUUUAGUUAAUACCUAGAGAUAGUGGACGUUACUCGCAGAAUAAGCACCGGCUAACUCUGUGCCAGCCGCCGCCGUAAAAC